rnacentral:ncRNA from 1 species
UAAAAUCCUAUGACAGGAAGAGUAAUUAUAGUGUAUGUUUCAGCGAGCUAGAGUUGGUGGGAGUCUAGUAACAAAGCUAUAAUGAAAAGAGCCCUAGAGGAUAUCUUUUGAAAUAGUAGUAGGAAGAUACGUUAGCCGCGUUAAAGGCAUAAAGUGGGUAUAUUAUUAUGCCAAAAAGGGUGGCAACACGGGAAAAACUCUCGUCUCUUAA